AACACUGUGUGAUGAUUGGCAAAAAUAGGGAGUGGAAAUAUCUCACUACACCCAGUGUUCUUCUUAAGUCUUCUCUGGACAGACUUCUACCCCUAUACUUCUGUUAGUGAGACUAUUAGGUUGUGUGGGGGUCUUGUGUUUUAUUGUUGUGUACUCAUUGUAAGUUUGAAUGAAAUCUUGUGAUUGAUUUAUUCGUGUAAUAAUCAGUACAUGUGUAUGUGUAUUGUGAUAUCAGAUCAUGAUCUGUCAAACCUAUGGAGUUAACUUGAAAAGUUUGAUUGCUCUGCAACUUAAAAUGACCAGUGUUUUUUUAGCUGAACACUUUUCGGUGGAUUUUACUAGGAAUUCACAUGUAUUUUGACUCAUUUUUUGUUUACUCAGUUUCCAUAGAAACUGGCUUUCGUUUAGCAUCUAUCAGCCAUAUUUGUCAUUUUUAAUGAGGUAUUUCAAGACGUAUAACCUUGAAUAGAAGACAAAAUGCAAUAAAAGGCAAUGUAUUAGAUAGUUAUUUAUAAUCAAAUAAUUUGAAUAAAGGAGAUAGGGGAAAAUUAAUUGAUAUAAAAUGCAGAAUGAUUUAAAUGAGUUUUUGAAAAAAAAAGUGCAGGUGACUUUAAUUAUUUCUUUAGAAUUUUACUCAUUAAAAAGCAUUUAAUUGAUGAUGUCAUCAAUUAAUUGGGUUACAGAAGUUGUACUUUGUGUAUGUAUGCACUUACAUUUACAUAGGAAAGGUAUGUAUACUGCCUUUGAAUAAAGACGACUCGUG
rnacentral:misc_RNA from 1 species